UGGCAAGCGUUGUCCGGAUUUAUUGGGCGUAAAGCGAGCGCAGGCGGUUUCUUAAGUCUGAUGUGAAAGCCUUCGGCUCAACCGAAGAAGUGCAUCGGAAACUGGGAAACUUGAGUGUAGAAGAGGACAGUGGAACUCCAUGUGUAGCGGUGAAAUGCGUAGAUAUAUGGAAGAACACCAGUGGCGAAGGCGGCUGUCUGGUCUGUAACUGACGCUGAGGCUCGAAAGCAUGGGUAGCAAA
rnacentral:rRNA from 1 species